GACGAACGCUGGCGGCGUGCUUAACACAUGCAAGUCGAGCGGUAAGGCCCUUUCGGGGGUACACGAGCGGCGAACGGGUGGGUAACACGUGGGUGACCUGCCCUCAGCUCUGGGAUAAGCCCGGGAAACUGGGUCUAAUACCGGAUAUGACUUCAUGACGCAUGUUGUGGAGUGGAAAGCCUUGUGCGGCUGAGGAUGGGCCCGCGGCCUAUCAGCUUGUUGGUGGGGUGAUGGCCUACCAAGGCGACGACGGGUAGCCGGCCUGAGAGGGCGACCGGCCACACUGGGACUGAGACACGGCCCAGACUCCUACGGGAGGCAGCAGUGGGGAAUAUUGGACAAUGGGCGCAAGCCUGAUCCAGCCAUGCCGCGUGAGUGAUGAAGGCC
rnacentral:rRNA from 1 species